CACGUAGGGGGCAAGCGUUGUCCGGAUUUAUUGGGCGUAAAGAGCUCGUAGGGGGUUCGGUAAGUCGGGUGUUAAACCCCCAGGCUCAACCUGGGGACGCCACUCGAUACUGCUGUGACUAGAGUCCGGUAGGGGAGCGUGGAAUUCCUGGUGUAGCGGUGAAAUGCGCAGAUAUCAGGAGGAACACCAGCGGCGAAGGCGGCGCUCUGGGCCGGUACUGACACUGAGGAGCGAAAGCGUGGGUAGCAAACAGG
rnacentral:rRNA from 1 species